rnacentral:lncRNA from 1 species
UCUGUCCGUCUGUCCGUCCGUCCGUCGUCAACACUUCGGACAAUAACUCAAAAACGCUUUCACCAAUUUCCAUGAAACUUAAGUGAAUUGUUUAUAUCUAUUGACGUAAGCUCCCUUUCGUUUUUUUUUUAAUUUCAGAUUUUAAGUUUUGGAUUUAUGGGGCUUUAUUCAUAAAAAAGGGGGGGAUUUUCAACACUUCGGACAAUAACUCAAAAAGGCUUUCACCAAUGUACAUGAAACUUUGGUGAAUUGUUUAUAUCUAUUGAUGUAAUAUCCCUUUCAAUUUUUAUAAAUUUCAGAUCUUAAGUUUUGGAUUUAUGGGGCUUUAUUCAUAAAAAAAGGGGGAUUUUCAACACUUCGGACAAUAACUCAAAAAGGC